GGCCGGAAGUGAGCGUUCCGGCAGCGAAGUUCGAACGUGGACUGCUGCGCUGGGUCGCGCUCUGUGGAGCUGGUGGGUGCUCCGCUCGCUUUUGGCCCGGCCUGGUGCUGCAGUCCCGGGAGCCGUCGGAGCGCAGUUUCGGUGUGCGGCGGAGGCCGGGUAGCCCUGGAAAGGGGGCUUGGGGGGCUCGGAGUAGCGCUCCGUGUGUCUGCACUGUGGCAGCGGGACUCACCCGGGCGGGAGCGGCCCUUCCUCGGGCGCCGGGCGGCCUGCAGAGGGGUCGGGCUGCGCUCCGUGCCAGAGCGGCACGCGGCGUGGGCUCUGCUGAGCUGCGGCAGAGGCAAAGCCCUCCUAACAGACAGAGCACUGCUGGGACGCUGUAGCCCUACAGGGAAAGGCUUUCGCUGCCCCCUAAAGCUGUAGUCCAACCCUGCCGCUGCUCUGCGGGAUGAAGCCCUGAAGGGUGUCCUAUACUGUUAAUGUAAGGGAAGUCGGCGUCAUGCAGUGCGUUUUAUUAUUGCUAGGUGAGGGGGGAUGCACCUUGGUGAGGAGAUGUGCAGUGCUGGAGCUGCCACAAGUGUCCCUUCUGCCUCUAAGAAUGUGUCCUAAGCAGGAUGUGAACCUGCUGGCACUUCUUCACUGCAGGUGCUCGUAGGAUCUCCAGUUCUUGCAGAUUUCAGGAUGACAGCGACUAUGAGGAAGUUCUCGUAUACUAUGAAUUACAUGAAACAAUUGGGACGGUUUUUAAAAGUAGCAUCUGCAAGGCCUGCAGGACACCACAGCACCCCACGUUGCUGUCACCUCUUGAGUGAUUUGUGCCACCCAUGACAUGAGUGCUGUGCUUCAGUUACAAAACUGGUCAGAUUUCUUAGCUUGUUUGGUCUGCUACAGUGAUGGCCCAUGGCAGAACUGGAACACUCAUGUACUGCUCUGAUGGAGCACCGGGAUGGAAGACUGUCCUGCAGUGCUGUGCAGUGCUUUCCCUGCUCUUGUUACUUAUCUUUCUCUGAUACAUUCUAAAUACAUUUUCAGACAACUUUA